GAGGAGGAUCUUGGGAUUUGACUGGUUUUAAUGGCCACACCUGAUUCUGGUUUUUCCACUGCAUCAGAAGGAAGAUCUUUGCUCUGGCAUUUCCCUGGAAAUCCUGGUCUUGUGGAAAGAUUUGGAUACUCAUGGGUGGGACAUCUGCCUUGAAGGAGACUACUUUUCCCUGGAGUGCUGAGAGUCAUCUGUCUGACAGCUACCAGUCAAAGACCACUUGGCUAAGCCUCAAACCUGAAGUAAUAGGACCUAAUGCAGACCAACUCCUAAAACCAAGAGGCAAAUUUUCAAGAGACAAUCCUAUCAUCUUCUGGUUUGAUGACAGCAUGCCAUCACCACCAUUUCAGAUAUGUACUGUUCUUUAUUACUUAUUCAUGCCCACGCCUAUGAUCAGAAGCUUUUGAUGGAAGUAGAAGGUUUUUUUCCCCCUUGAGGAAGUGAAUUUCUAAUGAGCAAAUUGAGGCCUUUUAUAGUGGAUAUAUGAAAAAUAAAUUUCCUAUUAAAAUUAAGAAAUGUAAUUAC
rnacentral:lncRNA from 1 species